UACCGAGGAAAACCUCGACAGUUAACUGCAGCCGGUUUCUUCAAAAUUCGACAGUUAACUGUCGAGGGGUAU
rnacentral:pre_miRNA from 1 species